rnacentral:rRNA from 1 species
AUUGAACGCUGGCGGCAGGCCUAACACAUGCAAGUCGAGCGAGCGGCGGACGGGUGAGUAAUGUCUGGGAAACUGCCUCAUGGAGGGGGAUAACUACUGGAAACGGUAGCUCAUACCGCAUACCAUCAGAUGUGCCCAGAUGGGAUUAGCUGGUAGGUGGGGUAACGGCUCCCCUGGGCGACGAUCCCUAGCUGGUCUGAGAGGAUGACCAGCCACUCUGGAACUAGGACACGGUCCAGACUCCUACGGGAGGCAGCAGUGGGGAAUAUUGCACAAUGGGCGCAAGCCUGAUGCAGCCAUGCGGCGUGUGUAGGGAGGGCCUUCGGGUUGUAAAGCACUUUCAGCGGGGAGGCGUUACCCGCAGAAGAAGCAACGGCUAACUCCGUGCCAGCCGCCGCGGUAAUAC